rnacentral:rRNA from 1 species
UACGUAGGGGGCAAGCGUUGUCCGGAAUCAUUGGGCGUAAAGAGCGUGUAGGCGGCCCGGUAAGUCCGCUGUGAAAGUCCAGGGCUCAACCCUGGGAUGCCGGUGGAUACUGUCGGGCUCGAGUCCGGAAGAGGAGUGUGGAAUUCCCAGUGUAGAGGUGAAAUUCGUAGAUAUUGGGAAGAACACCGGUGGCGAAGGCGGCGACCUGGUCCUUGACUGACGCUGAGGCGCGAAAGCUAGGGGAGCAAACAGG